rnacentral:rRNA from 1 species
GGCGGCNNGCCUUACACAUGCAAGUCGAACGGCAGCACGGGAGCAAUCCUGGUGGCGAGUGGCGAACGGGUGAGUAAUAUAUCGGAACGUGCCCAGUCGUGGGGGAUAACGCAGCGAAAGCUGUGCUAAUACCGCAUACGAUCUACGGAUGAAAGCGGGGGAUCGCAAGACCUCGCGCGAUUGGAGCGGCCGAUAUCAGAUUAGCUAGUUGGUGAGGUAAAGGCUCACCAAGGCGACGAUCUGUAGCUGGUCUGAGAGGACGACCAGCCACACUGGAACUGAGACANCNGGUCCAGACUCCUACGGGAGGCAGCAGUGGGGAAUUUUGGACAAUGGGCGCAAGCCUGAUCCAGCAAUGCCGCGUGCAGGAUGAAGGCCUUCGGGUUGUAAACUGCUUUUGUACGGAGCGAAAAGGCUUCUCCUAAUNCGGGGGGCUCAUGACGGUACCGUAAGAAUAAGCACCGGNUAACUAC